rnacentral:rRNA from 1 species
AACGAACGCUGGCGGCAUGCCUAACACAUGCAAGUCGAACGAGACCUUCGGGUCUAGUGGCGCACGGGUGCGUAACGCGUGGGAACCUGCCUUUAGGUUCGGAAUAACUCAGAGAAAUUUGAGCUAAUACCGGAUGAUGUCUUCGGACCAAAGAUUUAUCGCCUUUAGAUGGGCCCGCGUUGGAUUAGCUAGUUGGUGGGGUAAAGGCCUACCAAGGCGACGAUCCAUAGCUGGUCUGAGAGGAUGAUCAGCCACACUGGGACUGAGACACGGCCCAGACGAAUACGUGAGGCAGAAGUGGGGGAUAAUGGAGAAUGGCCGAAAGCCUGAUCCACUAAUGCCGCGGGAGUGAUGAAGGCCUUAGGGUUGUAAAGCUCUCCUACCAGAGACGAUAAAGAAGGGAUGGGAAGAAAAGGAUCCGGCUAAUGUAGGG